UACAGAGGUCCCAAGCGUUGUUCGGAUUCACUGGGCGUAAAGGGUGCGUAGGCGGUCGGGUAAGUCUGAUGUGAAAUCUCACAGCUUAACUGUGAAACUGCAUUGGAUACUAUCCGGCUCGAGGAAUGGAGGGGAGACUGGAAUACUUGGUGUAGCAGUGAAAUGCGCAGAUAUCAGGAGGAACACCGGUGGCGAAGGCGGGUCUCUGGGCCGAUAUUGACGCUGAGGAGCGAAAGCGUGGGGAGCAAACAGG
rnacentral:rRNA from 1 species